GCAUUAAUGGGGUAGUGGUAAACCUGGGUCGUUCCCAUAGAAUUGUGUCAGCGGGUUUGAUUCCCUCUCAAUGCA